rnacentral:rRNA from 1 species
UAGGGAAUCUUCGGCAAUGGACGAAAGUCUGACCGAGCAACGCCGCGUGAGUGAAGAAGGUUUUCGGAUCGUACUCUGUUGGUAGAGAAGAACGUUGGUGAGAGUGGAAAGCUCAUCAAGUGACGGUAACUACCCAGAAAGGGACGGCUAACUACGUGCC